CCUACGGGGGGCUGCAGUGGGGAAUAUUGGACAAUGGGCGAAAGCCUGAUCCAGCCAUGCCGCGUGUGUGAAGAAGGCCUUCGGGUUGUAAAGCACUUUCAGUGGGGAAGAAAGCCUUGGGGCUAAUACCCUCGAGGAAGGACAUCACCCACAGAAGAAGCACCGGCUAACUCCGUGCCAGCAGCCGCGGUAAUACGGAGGGUGCGAGCGUUAAUCGGAAUUACUGGGCGUAAAGCGCGCGUAGGCGGUCUGAUAAGCCGGUUGUGAAAGCCCCGGGCUCAACCUGGGAACAGCAUCCGGAACUGUCAGGCUAGAGUGCAGGAGAGGAAGGUAGAAUUCCCGGUGUAGCGGUGAAAUGCGUAGAGAUCGGGAGGAAUACCAGUGGCGAAGGCGGCCUUCUGGACUGACACUGACGCUGAGGUGCGAAAGCGUGGGUAGCAAACAGGAUUAGAUACCCGGGUAGUC
rnacentral:rRNA from 1 species